CUCCUACAACACAACCAAAACAAACAAUUAAGUAACCAAUUCAACUAACUGAACAUGCAAAACAACGGAAACAUUCACAAUGUGAGCUCGAUUAAUCACAACUGACCUCGCCGCUCUCGUCCUCGUCUUCAUCAUCGUCAUUUACCUCAGACUUGGACUUGUCAGACUCUUCUUCAUCAGCUUCAUUAUUUCCAUCAGCCUAAUUCACGUAAAUAAACCAACAAAGUCUCACAAAUAUCCUCAACCCGAUAACUAAACGAAUCACAUGAAAGCCGGAGCAAGAGUGCUUACUAAUUGCUUGUUGUAUGCCUGAAUGUUCUUGUUAUAUUCUACCUUCCUCUUGUCUGCCUUGGCUUGAUAGGGAGCUUUCUCCUGAUUAAUUCAAGCACAGAGCAUCAAAAUUCAGCAAAUAAUCUCACAUUAUUCACUAAUCAACGAAAUUAAAACGAUAAUUGAACACUCACGGCAUCUGACAACGAUUUCCAUUUAUCGCCACCAGCUUUACCGACCUGUUUGAUUACAAUUGAACAAAAUCAAGAUCAAUUUGCAUUAAUGUUUGAUUUAACCUAAUUAAUUAAUUAAUCAAAACAACUAAUCAGAGGCUAAAAUCGACGAACAAGUUGGUAGAUCUGAGAGGAUGAGAUUUUGACUUACGGCAGCAACCGACUUGUUGUUUGGAUGCUCCUUCUUGUACUUCUCUCUGAAGUCCUCCCUGUAAAACGACGAAAGCAAACUUAAAUUCGGGAAAGAAAAAAUAUCUGAAAAAUAAAAAGAUGCAGAAAAGGUCAGAUCUAGAACUGGAACUGAAGAGAGAGAAAGAGAGUUGACCGUACAUGAAAACGAAGAAGGCACUCGCAGGCCUCUUCGGCUUGUUCGGAUCCUUUCCGGCUUUCUUCGCCGGCUUCUUGCUCGCUCCGGCACUCUUGCUCUUCAACCUUUCAAAAUUCAAAUUUCAAAAAAAAAAAAUCAGCAAAAAUUCAAACACACAAAGCACAGCAGAAAUCAAAACACGGGAGAACAAAUCACAGUUCUCCGAUCGAACCGAUGCAAUCGGAGAGCAAUCAUAGCAUAAUAGAGCACAAAACUCACUUCGUAUCGCGUUUGGGGGCAGCAGCCCUGGCUUUACCCAUGGCGAACCUGCAACCACACAAAAAAGGUCAAAAAUCGGUGGGAACCGGCGAGAAUCGUUCGGAAACGGUCAAAAACUGCUCGAUUCGGACCGAGUCAGAGCGGCGGAGGCGCAAGGUUACCUAGGGUUUUCGAGAACAAGACGAAGACGCGGAGAGAGAGAGUAAACUACGCCCUUGUUUUUGUUGUUGCGGUGCGUGGAUGUGAAAUUGGCGAAAGGGCCGAAGGGGGGGGGAUAAGAAGGAAUUAAGAAGGGGCAAAACCGAAUUUCGACUAACCCAAAAAAUUGAAGUUUUGGGUUUCGGCGGGAUUACGAAAAUGUUUUGCCGCGUCAGCUAUCCGUGCGCUACGCCUUCAUUUGCUGCUGGGCUCUCCCUUAUGUGCUUCCUUGUGUGCUUCUUCGCUAGCGAGGAGGGCACGUGGGGAUGCACGAGAUAGGGGUAGGGGCGAAAUGACGGAUUUGGGGUUUGGUUUUGUGGGUUGGGGUCUGGUGGUUGAGAGCGAUCGAAUCGAUAGAAUAAAACGCGUAGUACGCAACAGCUGUAUUGGCGUGGGAUAUUAUUGAAGCGGGGGUAAAUAAGUAAAUGUGGUGGUUUGAUAUUUUGGGCUUUUUGGAUUAUUUUUCUAAUUAGGGUUUUGACGGAUGGAAAAGUUGGAGAUAUUUGUAAGUGGGCUGUUGGGUUGCAGAGAAGCAAAAACUUGGUUAAACUGAACCCCGUUGCACUUGGUACGGAAAAAAAAGGUGACAAGUAAGUAGGGAGAAUUCUUCCAUGUUCGGACCCAACCACGUAUCCCUACGGUUCAAGAUUCGGAAAGUGCCGGGUUCACCCGACCCCAAUUUGUACCCCUCACACUGUAUCCAGUGGCCUCACACGAGCCUCGCGACAAGUGGAGCAUGUUCUAAUACAAUAUAGUAUAUAUACCCACACACAAAUUCUGUGAAAUUUUUUUACUUUUGUUGUUAAAAUUGAAGGAGAGGGGAAGAAAGUGAAAGAGAACGUAGAAGCGAGGAGAAAGGAAGAGAGGUUGUUUCUUCAUUUUUUUCUAACUAGAAACGACAAAAUUAUAUGUAGGUAAGGCUUAAAAAAACAGAAAAAUUUUAUCGUGUGAAAUUACGUUACUAUCCUUAACUUUUUUGUUAUGAUAAAAGACAACUAUAUCUUUUUACCCUUCUUUGAUUGACAAAUAGAAUUUCAUUAAUGUAAUUUUAGAUAAUGUACAAUGGAAAGUGAUUUCCCCAUUCGCUUUUUUUUUUCCUUUGUCGCUCCUUUUUGUCUAUAGAUAAGCACUAAUCUUCAACCCACUACAUUCCUAAUUACAACGUCACCCCCUGGAUUUAGUAUAGUGAUAGCUUGAAACAAAACACAAAACUAAGAAAGAAUUUUUUAUAUGUACUUAUCCAACAAGUAAUGCUAAGGAGACUAAAUUUAUAGAUAAAAUUUUGUAAAUUAAAUGACAUGAAAGUUAAUGAUUGAGUUAUUACAUAAGCAUUAAUAAACAUACACAUUCUUAUUGAUGACACAUCAUUUAGUUUACAAAUUUUGUUUAAUUUAGUCUCCCUAGUAAUACAUUUCUCGAAUAAGCAAUUAGGCCCUUUUAUAAUCAGUCUAGAAUACGCCCUUAAUACUUGUUGUAUCACUUAUUAGUGGGAAUACCUUACAGAAUACGAAAUAUGCUUUUAGCUCUUCCAAAAGCAAUUCGAACAAGCCCUUGUAUUUCAUCGCUUUGCACGUGCUGCCCAAAAAAUCUUCCGAUAUGGAGAGAGGGGUAGUAGAAACCCGCAAUGGAGACAAAAUUCUUGUCGUUGUAGGUUAAAAGUGAUUUGGAGGCUUCAAUUAACUAGUUGAAUAAUAAGGAGAGUUAUCUUUUAUUCAUUGAUCUUAUUUGAUUCAUUUGAUCAAACAGCCACAAAUUAAGAGUGAGAAGUAAAAAAAUAUAGAUAAAUAGCACGCUCCUAUGCUUUAUUGAAUACAUCUGAUAACAUCACAAAUACUGAAGCAAGUCCGCCAAAUCAAAAGCACCGGCAGUAUUCAACACCAGGUCCCAAAAAUGAAACAAAAUCUAGUUCAACCUUCAAAAACGAAAAUUAUACUAUCCCCCGAUGCACUUGAGAAAUUUGGCCGUUAGAUAUUGACUCCUUAACCUAGAAUUUAAGAAUCUCGAGUCUCAUAUAUAAGUGCUCGUGUAAAAGUUGCUUUUAAACGAUUGAAACAUGCUUCUAAAUAAAAAUUUUGAAAACUAAACUUGAUAAAAAUGAAAGUUAAUUCUAGAAAAAACACCAAAAAUACUUCUAUCAUAAACCACAUAACAAGUGCUUUUAGCAUAAGACAUUUCAAAUACUUUCGAAAUCCAAAAAUUUAAAAAAAAAAAAAAACACUUUCAGUAAUUUAAAAGCACUUUUCAAACAAGCUCUAAAAUACACGAGCAUACUGGAAGAGUAGACAUUCAUGCCAUGCUAAAAAUACACUGACAGGUUUGUCAUCCAAUCGGUGUCGACAACCAACGAAGAAUCCCCAAAGCAAUCCAAAGGAACCAGUAGAAAGUCAAAAGAGAGAGAGAGACGCAGAUUGAAGCCAAACAACCACAAUCACAUAAAACAAGAUGGCGAAUAGAGAACAAUGACGCAAAAUCUUAAACCGAAAUGCAGACAAACCACAUCCUCACUCCAAGACUAGUUGCCGGUAUUCCAAGCGAAUCACAAACUCUUGUAAAAAAAGUUAUCAUACAUCACAACGCACAUUGCGACUCAUUUGGAAUACCGACACCGUGACAUCCAUAUUAUACAAAGUCAAAUGCCACAACCAUAAGAAAAUGCACAAAGCAAAUCAAUCCCAAGCAUAUAAUAAAAGGGAUACUAAUUAGAGCAAAACAGAAGUAAUUUGAACAUAAAAACGAUCAUUAAGUACAGAAACGAUAUGGGGAAUCAGGUGGAUGAGUCCCGAAACAUAACCCCUUGUGUUUUUCCCUUUCCUUCCCUAAUCCUAAAAAUGUAGCUAUCUUAUCAUCAGACACAAAGCUUUAAUCAGAAAAUGCAGGUCAUUCGAUAUGUUCUAACCAAUAACCCUAACCACGAAUUGCUCCUCUCCUUCAUUCGAUUUCCGGCUUUCCUUCUUUACUCAUCAUCAUCUUCUUCCUACAAUUAAACAAAACCAACAUGGUUCAAUCACACUAAUCACAGAACUAAGCAGGGAAAACGUGAUUAACACAAUAGCAAGAGCCAAUUAGAAAAAAACCUCUCCGCUCUCGUCAUCAUCUUCGUCUUCGUUUUGCACCUCGGACUUGGACUUAUCAGACUCUUCGUCCUCCGCUCCAUUGCCUCCCU
rnacentral:lncRNA from 1 species